UUGUACCUUUUGGAGAGUUAAGAAGUGCCCUCUUUUAUCUCACUAUACCCAUUUUUUUUAUGUGUUUACCUAUCUGGAGAAUCCCCCUGUAGCACCAUUGUCUGCCAUUUCCUUGGUGAAUGAAUGCCAGUUUGGAAAGCCUGGAGUCAACGAGAACCAAGUUUUACUUUACAAAUAUCUCCUCCCCGCCACUAGGAUGUGGGCCACAAGGUACCAUGAAAAAGGGGAUGAUUGAAGCUCCAGAGAUUUUUAUCUACGGAGAAAGUAAUGGCUCAAAUCUGCACAGCAACCUUAUCCUUGUUUAGUGCUCUUUCCUUGGUAGCCUCUUUUGUUUUAGCUGAAGACAGUGGUGGCUUUGGCCAUUUCGGGGAGUCACUCAGUUGUUUCGGUGUUAGAGACUGUAGUUAGAUUCUAAUAGGAUGCAUGGAAGCCAGCAAUGAGAAAGUCAUGAGCGGCUAUCAAGGAAGUCAGGGGCCAAUCCUGGCAGCACUCCACAAGAAACUGGAUCGAACCAGACAGAUCCAAGAUGGUGGGUGCCAUGACAGGAAACUCCUGAUCAGGAGUCAACUUUUUUUGUUCCUGAAGACAAUGGGAAAUUCCACCUCCAUCCCCAAAGACUCAUCCCUAAGAUGUAUCUUGUGACACUGGAACCAGCUCCCAUCAGAAAGUUUGCAAAGAAAAAUGCUUAUCUUGUUUUACAACAUGGCCUAGCCCCGAUAUAAACUAAAGAAUGGGGAAGCCUGACCAGAAAAUGGUAGUCUUCACUAUAACGCCAUAUUAUAACUUGAUCUGUUCUUAAAAGGCAGGGAGAUUGGACUGAAAUCCAAUAUGGUCAGGGCUUUCUGGCCCUGUACCAGAACCCCGAUCUUUCCAAAUUCCUUUAAGGGGCCUGAGAACACCCCUCUCCUGUCCCUCUACCCCUCAAUCCACUAUCAACUCAGCUGCCUCAGGCCCUUCUGCUUCUAUGAAUCCACUACCUAACCAGUGUUCUAUCGCUCUGUGCCUCCCUCCUUUGUCUUGCCAGCAAUCACAUCCAUGCCUACCUCUGUUUUCCCUGAGUCUCCCAUCUCCUUUUGCUUUGCUUUUCUUCUUUUCUUUUUGCUUGACAUAUAGCUUGAGAGAGCUACCUGACUCUUGUAUGUGGAGGCCUCUCAUUUAUUUUCUGGGUGAACGGCUAUGAUAAUCGGAGCCAACUGUCUUAGUCUACCUUGAGACAGGCACUUUCAGGAAUAUUCCCAACAAGCUGCUGAAACUCUUUUGUUACAGGGAGAUUCCCCGUCCAUUCUGAUCCAGCACGGACUGCCUGCUUUCACUUUUAUUGAUAGAUACUUCUGUUGAUAGGAAAAGGUACAUCCGUGGGAACCGGUGAGCUCUACAGCUGGGUAAGGCCACCGGCAGGCACAUCUUUCUCUGCCAUCUGGGCUUUUAUCCGCCUCCAGCCUUGCUGGAGAGACCUCAUUCACUGUCUCAGCCUCCGCCUCACCCUCCUCUUGUUUCUACACCCCCAUGAGGGUAGCUUGCAUGACUGGCUCCUAUACUAACUAAACAUCCUCCGUGUUUCUGGCACCAUUAACUCCUACUCCUCCUAUCCUCCCUAUUGAGGGGAAAAGAGCACCCAGAGCUGUUAGGUCACCUCCUUCUGAGGUUCAAACUAAAGCACCUUCCAAAUCAACUUGAAAGGGCCCAAGGACUCCCUGGGACUUAAACCUCCCACUUCCGGUUUCUCCACAGGAGCCCCAAGUGAAAUUGACAGUGGGGAACAAAUUGCUUGACUUUUUAGUGCAGUAUUCAAGGAUGUUGGAUUAAUUAAAAUAAACACAUCUUUAGAGAUAUCAAUAUUAAACAUAAAACUUUUAUUCUACCAAGGUUUAGUAGAGGUCAAACAAGGUCACAUGAUCUCUGUUGCAGUUUGUCGGCAAAAAGCUGACUUCAA